GGAUUAGUAAGUUGGUCGUGCCUUUGGUAUGUACUUGGCUUCACUGAUUCCUCCUUCUUGAAGAACUGUAAUGCCAUUAAUUUGGUGUUGCAGGGACACAGGACUGUUACUUUGAAAAAAUUAGAGUGUUUAAAGCAGGCCAAAGCCUGAAUACAUUAGCAUGGAAUAAUGAAAUAGGACGUUUGAUCCUAUUUUGUUGGUUUCUAGGAUUGACGUAAUG
rnacentral:rRNA from 1 species